rnacentral:rRNA from 1 species
CCCCGCAAGGGAGCGGCGGACGGGCGAGUAACGCGUGGGAAUUUUUCCUGGGGUACGGAACAACCGAGGGAAACUUCGGCUAAUACCGUAUGAUGCCGAGAGGCCAAAGAUUUAUCGCUCUGGGGUGAGCCCGCGUCAGAUUAGGUAGUUGGUGGGGUAAUGGCCUACCAAGCCUGCGAUCUGUAGCUGGUCUGAGAGGACGAUCAGCCACACUGGGACUGAGACACGGCCCAG